rnacentral:rRNA from 1 species
UGUUUCCGUAGGUGAACCUGCGGAAGGAUCAUUGUCGAAACCUGCUCCGCAGAACGACCCGCGAACGCGUCCACAAACGCGGGGACCGCGGGGGCCUUCGGUCCCCCCCGUCGCCCCGAAAGGUCGGGGAAGCAGGCUGGGCCUCGCCCCGCCGGCUCUCCGCGGCCCUAACAACCAACCCCGGCGCGAGAAGCGCCAAGGAACAUGAAACGAAAAAGAGCGCGCUCCCGUUCGGGACGCGUCGUCCUCUUUCGAGAACCAUAACGACUCUCGGCAACGGAUAUCUCGGCUCUCGCAUCGAUGAAGAACGCAGCAAAAUGCGAUACUUGGUGUGAAUUGCAGAAUCCCGCGAACCAUCGAGUCUUUGAACGCAAGUUGCGCCCGAAGCCAUCCGGCCGAGGGCACGUCUGCCUGGGUGUCACGCAACCGUCGCCCCCAACCCCCUCGCCCCGUGCGGGGUGCGGGGGCGGAUCCUGGCCUCCCGUGCGCUCCUCGCUCGCGGUUGGCCCAAAAGCCGAGUCCUCGGCGAUGAUCGCCACGGCUAUCGGUGGUUGAAAGACCCUCGGACAGAGCCGCGCGCGCCAUCGGCCACCGGGACCCCGAGACCCCCUGCGCGUCCCCCAAGGAGGGAACGCCUCCGACCGCGACCCCAGGUCAGCGGAAAACACCUGAUUUAAGCAUAUUAAUAAGC